CUGACAGCCCUGCAGCUUCUUUUGUAUACCCUCAGCACAGAUGCACCACAGGUAGUGCCAGUGCCAGCAUUCCUACACUGCCCCUGACCAAUGCCUCACUCUGACUUGGAGAGGCCACCUCUAGAGGGGAGGGAAGAGUUUGAAUCCAUGUCUUCCCUUUAAGAUUUCA
ensembl:misc_RNA